CUACGGGAUGCUGCAGUGAGGAAUUUUGCGCAAUGGGGGAAACCCUGACGCAGCAACGCCGCGUGAGUGAUGAAGGCCUUCGGGUCGUAAAGCUCUGUCAAGUGGGAAGAACCCACCCUGUGCUAAUAUCACAGGGUGCUGACGGUACCACUGAAGGAAGCACCGGCUAACUCCGUGCCAGCAGCCGCGGUAAUACGGAGGGUGCAAGCGUUAUUCGGAAUUACUGGGCGUAAAGGGCGCGUAGGCGGCCUUUUAAGUCAGAUGUGAAAUCCCGGGGCUCAACCCCGGAAGUGCAUCUGAAACUAAGAGGCUUGAGUAUGGGAGAGGGAAGUGGAAUUCCUGGUGUAGAGGUGAAAUUCGUAGAUAUCAGGAGGAACACCGGUGGCGAAGGCGACUUCCUGGACCAAUACUGACGCUGAGGCGCGAAGGCGUGGGGAGCAAACAGGAUUAGAUACCCGCGUAGUC
rnacentral:rRNA from 1 species